GAUGCUUGAGGUCAUAUGUUGGAAAAGUGUUUUAUAGUCUAGGAGGAGAAUGUUGGCUUAAAUUGGCUAGCAUCUUGUCUUGUGGCGGGAGAUUAUAUUGGGCCAAGUCAUGUUAGAAAUGACGUGAAGCUAGGUGGGCCGAGUCAUGUUCGAAGUGGCGUGAGGUUGGGUGGGCCGAGUCACAAUCGAGAUCCGUGGGCGCUGUAACUAUACGUUUUAAGUAAAUUGGUUGCGUAUUUCUAACGGCUCGAGUUUUUGGGAUUAAUGGUUAGAGUCAUGUUAGAAAUGGCGCGAGGCUAGGUGGGCCAAGUCAUGUUCUAAGUAGCGUAAGGCUGGGUGGGCCGAGUCAUAAUUGAGACCAGUGGGCGCUGUAUCUAUACGCUUUAAGUGAAUUGAUUGUGUAUUUCUAACUGUGCGAGUUUUUGGAAUUAAUGGUUAGCGUCAACGAUCCGACAGAGAAGAUUUAUGUUUAUGAACCCUCAUAAAGAGCGUGAAAUAUGUGAUAUAAAAAAGUGUUAAGAUUGAUACGGCGCAAGAAUUGGAAGUAAGCGGAUUUUAUUCGAUGGAUAGUUAGGU
rnacentral:lncRNA from 1 species